rnacentral:misc_RNA from 1 species
GAUGAAGAACGCAGUGAAAUGCGAUAAGUAGUGUGAAUUGCAGAAUUCAGUGAAUCAUCGAAUCUUUGAACGCACAUUGCGCCCCUUGGUAUCCCGAGGGGCAUGCCUGUUCGAGCGUCAUUUCACCACUCAAGCCUGGCUUGGUGUUGGGCGACGUCCCCUUUGGGGACGCGCCUCGAAACGCUCGGCGGCGUGGCACCGGCUUUAAGCGUAGCAGAAUCUUCCGCUUUGGAAGUCGGGGCCCCGUCUGCCGGAAGACCUACUCGCAAGGUUGACCUCGGAUCAGGCAGGGAUACCCGCUGAACUUAAGCAUAUCAAUAAGCGGAGGA